rnacentral:rRNA from 1 species
AUUGAACGCUGGCGGCAGGCUUAACACAUGCAAGUCGAACGGUAGCAGGAGAAAGCUUGCUUUCUUGCUGACGAGUGGCGGACGGGUGAGUAAUGCUUGGGAAUCUGGCUUAUGGAGGGGGAUAACUACGGGAAACUGUAGCUAAUACCGCGUAGAAUCGGAAGAUGAAAGUGCGGGACCGCAAGGCCGCAUGCCAUGAGAUGAGCCCAAGUGGGAUUAGGUAGUUGGUGGGGUAAAGGCCUACCAAGCCUGCGAUCUCUAGCUGGUCUGAGAGGAUGGCCAGCCACACUGGAACUGAGACACGGUCCAGACUCCUACGGGAGGCAGCAGUGGGGAAUAUUGCGCAAUGGGGGGAACCCUGACGCAGCCAUGCCGCGUGAAUGAAGAAGGCCUUCGGGUUGUAAAGUUCUUUCGGUAUUGAGGAAGGUUGAUGUGUUAAUAGUACAUCAAAUUGACGUUAAAUACAGAAGAAGCACCGGCUAACUCCGUGCCAGCAGCCGCGGUAAUACGGAGGGUGCGAGCGUUAAUCGGAAUAACUGGGCGUAAAGGGCACGCAGGCGGUUAUUUAAGUGAGGUGUGAAAGCCCCGGGCUUAACCUGGGAAUUGCAUUUCAGACUGGGUAACUAGAGUACUUUAGGGAGGGGUAGAAUUCCACGUGUAGCGGUGAAAUGCGUAGAGAUGUGGAGGAAUACUGAAGGCGAAGGCAGCCCCUUGGGAAUGUACUGACGCUCAUGUGCGAAAGCGUGGGGAGCAAACAGG